rnacentral:tRNA from 1 species
AUCUUGAUAGCUUAAAUUACAAAGCAAAGCUCUGAAAAGGCUUAGAUGGUGACACACCUUAAGAUA